GGCCUCGUGGUGAAGUGGUUAACAUUCCUGCUUUGGGUGCAGGAGAUCCCGGGUUCAAAUCCCGGCGGGGCCC